GACGAACGCUGGCGGCGUGCUUAACACAUGCAAGUCGAACGGAAAGGCCUGCUUUCCCUUGUGGAUUGCGGGUACUCGAGUGGCGAACGGGUGAGUAACACGUGAGUGAUCUGCCCCCAACUUGGGUAUAAGCCUGGGAAACUGGGUCUAAUUCCCGAUAGGACUGCAGGGUGGUGCCUGUGGUGGAAAACGAUUUUCUAGUGGUUGGGGAUGAGCUCGCGGCCUAUCAGCUUGUUGGUGGGGUAAUGGCCUACCAAGGCGGCGACGGGUAGCCGGCCUGAGAGGGGGGACGGCCACAUUGGGACUGAGAUACGGCCCAGACUCCUACGGGAGGCAGCAGUGGGAAUAUUACACAAUGGGCGGAAGCCUGAUGCAGCGACGCCGCGUGGGGGAUGACGGCCUUCGGGUUGUAAACUCCUUUCGACCGCGAGGAAGCCACCUGGUUGGAAGGGUGGUGACGGUAGUGGUAGAAGAAGCACCGGCUAACUACGUG
rnacentral:rRNA from 1 species